ACUCCUACGGGAGGCAGCAGUGGGGAAUAUUGCACAAUGGGCGCAAGCCUGAUGCAGCCAUGCCGCGUGUAUGAAGAAGGCCUUCGGGUUGUAAAGUACUUUCAGCAGUGAGGAAGGUGGUGUCGUUAAUAGCGGCAUCAUUUGACGUUAGCUGCAGAAGAAGCACCGGCUAACUCCGUGCCAGCAGCCGCGGUAAUACGGAGGGUGCGAGCGUUAAUCGGAAUUACUGGGCGUAAAGCGCAUGCAGGUGGUUUGUUAAGUCAGAUGUGAAAGCCCGGGGCUCAACCUCGGAAUUGCAUUUGAAACUGGCAGACUAGAGUACUGUAGAGGGGGGUAGAAUUUCAGGUGUAGCGGUGAAAUGCGUAGAGAUCUGAAGGAAUACCGGUGGCGAAGGCGGCCCCCUGGACAGAUACUGACACUCGAGAUGCGAAAGCGUGGGGAGCAAACAGGAUUAGAUACCCUGGUAGGAUAGCG
rnacentral:rRNA from 1 species